rnacentral:rRNA from 1 species
UACGUAGGGGGCAAGCGUUGUCCGGAUUUAUUGGGCGUAAAGAGCGUGUAGGCGGCCAGGUAGGUCCGCUGUGAAAACUCGAGGCUCAACCUCGAGAUGUCGGCGGAAACCAUCUGGCUAGAGUCCGGAAGAGGAGAGUGGAAUUCCUGGUGUAGCGGUGAAAUGCGCAGAUAUCAGGAAGAACACCCGUGGCGAAGGCGGCUCUCUGGGACGGUACUGACGCUGAGACGCUAAAGCGUGGGGAGCGAACAGG